rnacentral:rRNA from 1 species
AGACAGGUGCUGCAUGGCUGUCGUCAGCUCGUGUUGUGAAAUGUUGGGUUAAGUCCCGCAACGAGCGCAACCCUUAUCCUUUGUUGCCAGCGGUCCGGCCGGGAACUCAAAGGAGACUGCCAGUGAUAAACUGGAGGAAGGUGGGGAUGACGUCAAGUCAUCAUGGCCCUUACGACCAGGGCUACACACGUGCUACAAUGGCGCAUACAAAGAGAAGCGACCUCGCGAGAGCAAGCGGACCUCAUAAAGUGCGUCGUAGUCCGGAUUGGAGUCUGCAACUCGACUCCAUGAAGUCGGAAUCGCUAGUAAUCGUGGAUCAGAAUGCCACGGUGAAUACGUUCCCGGGCCUUGUACACACCGCCCGUCACACCAUGGGAGUGGGUUGCAAAAGAAGUAGGUAGCUUAACCUUCGGGAGGGCGCUUACCACUUUGUGAUUCAUGACUGGGGUGAAGUCGUAACAAGGUAACCGUAGGGGAACCUGC